CUACCCCUGACUGCAUCCCGGAGAUCGGGGCGGGGCUAAAUGUGGGCGGGGUCAAACGUUUAGAGGUGGGCGGAGACAACUAUUUGACUCCUGCGUCCUGCCCCUCUCAAUGGAACCAGGAAACCGCUAUGCUAUGUGUGUGUGCAAUGCUGUAGCCGGGACAGAGGGAAGUAGCUGCCAAAAUGGAGGUAAGCUAGGAUUUUUCUUUCUCUGUUUUAACAAUAUCGAGGACCAAUGUUGGGCGAACGUUUUAUAAACUUGGAAAUUAAAGUUUUUUUCCCAUUAUGAGUUUUAGAUGAUACAUAUAGCCUAUUUUACACAUGCGGGGCGACUUACUUUUGAGGAGAAAUGUUUACAGGGUUCCCACGGAGUCUUAAAAGCAUUGAAUUUAUGAAUUUGGAAGUAAUACCUUUAAAAGACUGGAGAAACCCUUCAAUUUUGGCAUCUGGGUCUUAAAAUUUGUGUUGGAUGUAAGUUUUCUGUACUGCAUUUUUCUUCUGAAGUUCAUCAAAAUAUUCCAAACAAGUGAUGACACCAAGAGAAGCACUAUUUUUAGACAUUUAUUUCAAUUUUGUGUCUUUACUGUUUGCACUGUUGCUUUUAUACAAUAGAAAUACUGCAAGAAAUUAGGGUAAUAAAAUUAGCAAUAAUAAAAAAAAAAUGUCUUAAAAUUAAACUAAAAUAUAGGCAACAAAAAUUAUUAAGGUUCUAAUGUCCAACCAGAUCGGUUAUAUUUUUAACCAUUUGUUUAAAAAUAUAACCGAUCUUCUACCAAGUGCCCACCCAGUGUUUUGUCAAAAUAUAUUGGUAAAGUUGUAUAGAUAAAUAAAUGAAAUUAGUUCAAUAAUUUUAUUUUAUUUAUUUACUUUUUUGCUGAUAGUGCCGUGAAAUAGGUAUUAAUUUUCCAUAUGGCUUUAGAAAGAUCUUAGACUUAAAUUUAAGUUGAAGAAACCUGUAGGAACACUUUUAUAGAUUUGGGGAGAUAUGUUGUGUGGUCAUGAUUACUUUUUGGUGGAAAUAUAUUUUACAGGGGGAAAUAUGUUAGUUUUUUAAGCUUUUUAUGUUCGUAUCUGAGUUCUACACCUGAUGGGCUUUAUUAUUAUGGUUAGAGUGCUAAUCUGAUGUGUGUAAUUAUAUAAACGUUUUGCUCAUUCAAGUGUCAACAGAAUAACAUGAAUGUUUUCAUAGUGAAUGAAUGUUGUCAUUGUAUCACCAAGGUCUGAGGAAGACAGAGUGCAGGCACGGAAAAGACGGAGAGAGGAAAGAGUAAAACAGGGCCUGGAAGUGGUCCCUCCUAAGAAGUCCUGCCAUACUGAAUGAGUCUGUGCAGCAUCAGGUAUUGUUCAAACAAGUAUUAUUGUACACAACCCCCUAGGUUGUCGAAAUGGGAUGUGGGAAGAUUCAAGAUUCAACCUUUUGUCAUAUGCACAGCUAGAAAAACACACUUUCUGCACAAUGAAAUUCUUACUUUGCCAAGAUUAGAAAAUUAAGACCGUUCCAGACAGAGCACUUUUUUUUUCAAAGCAAGUUUUUCAGUCAUUUCUCUAUUUUCAUUAAAUCAGAAUACUAAGCAACUGAUCUUUUUUACAACUUGCAUCGUUAAUAUGCUUUUUAUGAACCACAAUCUUUUUCCCUUCUAGCAGAGGCUGAGAACUUGCUGGAACUGGACUUUUCUUGUGUCAUUGUUUCUUCUCCAACCUCCAUUUUAAUUAGAGGUGUCAAAUAAUUCCAUUACUUGCAAUUAAUUUUUUACAGCCAUGAUUAACGUGUUGUAUAUUUUUAUUAUGUUUAUCAUUUUUAAUCUACUGCUUCUUUAUGGGACUUUUAAAUAAACCAAUUUCUUUUCCUGUUCUUGAAGGGUUCAUGUAAACUCAUAAGUUGAAGGGUUGACGUUACAGUGACAAGACCAGUGAGAGAUUAGCUGCAGCAGUGUUUAUUUCAGCGACCUUGUUAUCUUUACUCUGUUUUUUUCACCCUUCUUGCAACUUUUUCCAAAGUUAUUGUUACCAUUUGGAUGUAAUGGGUGUGUCACUGAGCAUCAAGGCUGCUGACAGCUUCUCUCCUGUAUCAGACGCACCUCCGUGCUGCAGUUUGGAAAGACCACAGCAUCAGCUGUUUGGCUAGCUGUUAGCAUUGAAAAUAAGGCUUAUAUUAUGUACAGUUAUUAGAUUAAAUUGAAAGAUUAGAUUACUUUCAGAUCAUACAUAAUUAAUGUAAAAUAUGUUUUUAAUCUCUUGACAGCAGUAAUUUUAAUAUUGUCUUUAUUUUUGAUUAGGAGAAUUCUCUGCUUGAGGACACCUUUGAGGCAGCAAGGUGGUGUACCACAAGGUCCUUCAAAGGAAGCCUUUCCCUUCCCCAGGUCAUCACCAUGGACAGGGAAGCUUGCCGGAGGGCAGUGGAGAGGUCAUGCUUCUGUGAUGGCCUGGAUGAAGAGGAGAUGAACGAUUGCAGGGAACCGUUCCUGUUCAUGUUUAGUUUUCAGUCAGACUAUGAGGAGUUCUGCAGAGAAAUUGAGGAAAAAAGGAAGAUGAAGGUGUUUUCUGGUUUUGAAAUGCCAUAGUACAGCGGUGUCACAGUUUUUGCAUUCUUUUUCCUCCUCACAUUGUUUUUUUGGAGGUUCUCUUGUUUUUUGUGUGCUUUUUGGUUCAUUUGUUUGUACUUUUUUUUAUUCCUGUGUUGGCUGUUGUUUGCUCUAUUAAAUUUACCUUUUUUGAAAAAUUUA